CUGGUUUUGGGUAUCAACAGCAACUUGUUCCAGGGAUGAGGCCAGGAGGGGGCCCAAUGCCGAACUUCUUCAUGCCAAUGGUUCCGCCAGGUCAGCAAGGACAGCGUCCAGGUGGCAGGCGAGGUGGCAUGCCCGGUCAACAGAAUCAGCAACAGCCCGUCCCCCUCAUGCAACAACAGAUGGUCCCACGUGGACGGAUGUACCGUUACCCACCUGGACGCAAUGUCGGUGAAGUUCCAAUGGGUUCCAUUCCGUACGACAUCGGAAACGGAAUGCCACUUCGUGAGGCCGGAAUGGCACAGCCGAUUCCGAUCGGUGCUUUGGCUUCUGCUCUUGCAAAUGCUUCUCCAACGG
rnacentral:lncRNA from 1 species